CGUAGGGACUGCGGAGGACAUUAAAAGAGGGCCUCACACGACAAGUUUGUAGUGGGGCCAAAGAGUCAACCACGAGGGGGACCGAUUUGCGCGCCGGGAUCCUGGCGACUGCGGGCGGUAUUCGAUCCAGCGUGGUGUGCGGUCGGUCGACCACCGCACGCCGUGGGCCGAAGGCUGGCAGCCGCCAGGGCACCGGAUUCGCCUCUCCCCCCAUCACCUCCACACCCCUGUGCACCUUUCCCCUCCUGGCGCCGCCUGUUUGGGGUGGCUUGCCGAGGGGGGUUUUUCGUCAGACUCUUGUGAACGUUAUAAGUGUGCGGAAGCGGUCUAUGCGCCGCUCUAAACUCUUUUAAAAACAACUUUCAACAACGGAUCUCUUGGCUCUCGCAUCGAUGAAGAACGCAGCGAAAUGCGAUAAGUAAUGUGAAUUGCAGAAUUCAGUGAAUCAUCGAAUCUUUGAACGCACCUUGCGCUCCUUGGUAUUCCGAGGAGCAUGCCUGUUUGAGUGUCUUGAAAUUCAUCAGCCUGCGCUUUUGUGCGGGUUGGACUUUGGGGGGUUUCUUUUAGCUUGCUGCCGCGAGGCGGCUCCCCUGAAAUGCAUCGGCGGUGGCCUGUUUCCGAGGUCCGGCCCCUUGGCGUUGUAUUCACCCUCGCCCCGUGGGCCCCUCCCCCUUGCGAAACUGCUGCCGGACCCCGACCGCCCGUUGGAGUGGGCGGUCAGCUUUUGAAUUCGAAAUCCGACCUCAAAUCAGGUAGGACUACCCGCUGAACUUAAGCAUACU
rnacentral:rRNA from 1 species